UGGAUCAGUGAUGAUAUAUGGUGAUAUAUGAUCCAUGGAUCAUGACUACAGGUCUGGGAGUCUGAACUUCAC
rnacentral:snoRNA from 1 species